AUGAACGCUAGCGGCAGGCCUAACACAUGCAAGUCGAGGGGUAACAGGGAGCUUGCUCCGCUGACGACCGGCGCACGGGUGCGCAACGCGUAUGCAAUCUACCUCUUACUAAGGGAUAGCCCAGAGAAAUUUGGAUUAAUAUCUUAUGUGAUAUGUGACUGGCAUCGGUUACAUAUUAAAGGUUACGGUAAGAGAUGAGCAUGCGUCUCAUUAGUUAGUUGGUAAGGUAACGGCUUACCAAGACUUCGAUGAGUAGGGGUCCUGAGAGGGAGAUCCCCCACACUGGUACUGAGACACGGACCAGACUCCUACGGGAGGCAGCAGUGAGGAAUAUUGGACAAUGGACGGAAGUCUGAUCCAGCCAUGCCGCGUGUAGGAAGACUGCCCUAUGGGUUGUAAACUACUUUUAUACAGGAAGAAUAAGAUCUACGUGUAGAUUGAUGACGGUACUGUAAGAAUAAGGACCGGCUAACUCCGUGCCAGCAGCCGCGGUAAUACGGAGGGUCCGAGCGUUAUCCGGAAUUAUUGGGUUUAAAGGGUCCGUAGGCGGGCUGUUAAGUCAGAGGUGAAAUGCUGCGGCUCAACCGUAUGCACUGCCUUUGAUACUGGCGGUCUUGAGUUAUAGUGAAGUGGCUAGAAUAAGUAGUGUAGCGGUGAAAUGCAUAGAUAUUACUUAGAAUACCGAUUGCGAAGGCAGGUCACUAACUAUACACUGACGCUGAUGGACGAAAGCGUGGGUAGCGAACAGGAUUAGAUACCCUGGUAGUCCACGCCGUAAACGAUGGAUACUAGCUGUUCGGUUUUCGGACUGAGCGGCCAAGCGAAAGUGAUAAGU
rnacentral:rRNA from 1 species